rnacentral:rRNA from 1 species
AAGUGGAGCAAUCCAUGAGUAUAGUGGCGACCGGGUGAGUAACACGUGACUACCUGCCCUUGAGUGGGGGAUAACCUCGGGAAACCGAGGCUAAUACCGCAUAAUAUCGCAAGAUCAAAGGAGCAAUCCGCUUUUGGAGGGGGUCGCGGCUGAUUAGCUAGUUGGUAAGGUAAUGGCUUACCAAGGCGAAGAUCGGUAUCCGGCCUGAGAGGGCGCACGGCCACACUGGAACUGAAACACGGUCCAGACUCCUACGGGAGGCAGCAGUGGGGAAUUUUGCGCAAUGGGGGAAACCCUGACGCAGCAACGCCGCGUGGAGGAUGAAGCCCCUUGGG